rnacentral:rRNA from 1 species
GAUGAACGCUGGCGGCGUGCCUAAUACAUGCAAGUCGAGCGAACGGACGAGAAUCUUGCUUCUCUGAUGUUAUCGGCUGACGGGUGAUUAACACGUGUAUAACCUACCUAUAAGACUGGGAUAACUUCGGGAAACCGGAUCUAAUACCGGAUGAUAUUUUGAACCGCAUGGUUCAAAAGUUAAAUACGGUCUUUCUGUCUCUUAUAGCUUGAUCCGCGCUGCAUUAGCUAGUUGGUAAGGUAACGGCUUACCAAGGCGACGAUGCAUAGCCGACCUGAGAGGGUGAUCGGACACAAUGGAAGUGAGACACGGUAAAGAAACCGAAGGGAGGAAGCAGUAGGGAAUAUUACGCAAUGGGCGAAAGCAUGACGGAGGAACGCCGCGUGAGUGAUGAAGGUCUUCGGAUCGUAAAACUCUGUUAUUAGGGAAGAACAUAUGUGUAAGUAACUGUGAAGAUAAUGACGGUACCUAAUCAGAAAGCCACGGCUAACUACGUG